rnacentral:rRNA from 1 species
CCUACGGGUGGCAGCAGUGAGGAAUAUUGGUCAAUGGACGAGAGUCUGAACCAGCCAAGUAGCGUGAAGGAUGACUGCCCUAUGGGUUGUAAACUUCUUUUAUAUGGGAAUAAAAUGUUCCCCGUGUGGGAUUUUGUAUGUACCCUAUGAAUAAGGAUCGGCUAACUCCGUGCCAGCAGCCGCGGUAAUACGGAGGAUCCGAGCGUUAUCCGGAUUUAUUGGGUUUAAAGGGAGCGUAGGUGGAUUGUUAAGUCCGUUGUGAAAGUUUGCGGCUCAACCGUCAAAUUGCAGUUGAAACUGGCAGUCUGGAGUGCAGUAGAGGUGGGCGGAAUUCGUGGUGUAGCGGUGAAAUGCUUAGAUAUCACGAAGAACUCCGAUUGCGAAGGCAGCUCACUGGACUGCAACUGACACUGAGGCUCGAAAGUGUGGGUAUCAAACAGGAUUAGAUACCCCGGUAGUC